rnacentral:rRNA from 1 species
AUGGCGGGAACUGACUCCUCGGCGUCAUCGAGACAAAGCAGUUUCAACUCAUUAGCAAAGGACCUAGAACUUCCUUUGGAGCAAGGGUGCCUCACCAUCGUUGUACUUGGGGCUUCUGGAGAUCUUGCCAAGAAGAAAACGUUCCCGGCACUCUACCACCUUUUUGAGCAGGGGUUCUUACAAUCUGGUGAAGUGCAUAUAGUGGGGUAUGCGAGAACAAAUCUUUCUGAUGAUGGGUUGAGAGGGCGCAUCCGUGCAUACCUUAAAGGAGCCUCAGAGGAACAUGUUUCAGAAUUCUUGCAAUUGAUAAAAUAUGUCAGUGGUUCCUAUGACAGUGGAGAAGGUUUUGAAAAACUGAACAAGGAAAUAUCAGAUUAUGAGAUGUCAAACAACUCAGGAAGCUCCCGUAGGCUCUUUUAUUUGGCAUUGCCUCCAUCUGUCUACCCUUCAGUGUGCAAAAUGAUCCGAACAUAUUGCAUGAGUCCAACUUCUCGCGCUGGAUGGACUAGAGUAAUUGUUGAGAAGCCCUUUGGAAGGGACCUGGACUCUGCAGAAGAAUUGAGUUCCCAACUUGGGGAGCUAUUCGAGGAAGAUCAACUCUACAGGAUUGACCACUACUUGGGAAAAGAGUUGGUCCAAAACUUGCUUGUGCUUCGUUUUGCGAACCGUUUGUUCUUACCACUUUGGAACCGUGACAAUGUUGAUAAUAUACAGAUUGUAUUCAGGGAGGACUUCGGAACUGAUGGACGUGGAGGAUAUUUUGAUCAAUAUGGAAUCAUCCGUGAUAUCAUUCAGAACCAUUUGUUGCAGGUUUUCUGUUUGGUUGCAAUGGAAAAGCCUGUAUCUCUUAAGCCUGAGCACAUCAGAGAUGAGAAAGUCAAGGUUCUGCAAUCCGUGAACCCGAUAAAGGACGAAGAGGUAGUCCUUGGACAAUAUCAGGGCUACAAGGAUGACCCUACAGUGCCAGAUGACUCUAAUACCCCAACGUUUGCAUCUAUUGUACUUAGGGUACACAAUGAAAGAUGGGAAGGUGUUCCUUUCAUUCUUAAAGCUGGUAAAGCAUUAAACUCAAGAAAAGCAGAAAUUCGUGUGCAGUUCAAGGAUGUUCCCGGUGACAUUUUUAAAUGUAAGAAGCAGGGAAGAAAUGAGUUUGUCAUACGCCUCCAGCCAUCAGAAGCCAUGUACAUGAAACUAACUGUAAGUCCAGCUACUUGUGUAUGA